rfam:Weissella ceti strain WS74, complete genome.
GGGGUCGUUUUGGAAUCGACUAGUAUUGUUCGAGCUAGUAUUGCGUUUAGGGGUUGUGGCCCUAUAAUCCACUCAGACGAAUUAACUGCAAACAAUUCAAACAACUACGCUGUCGCUGCUUAAAAAACAGCACACGUGAUCAUUCUUAGUUGUGAUUACCGGCUACUGAAUGGUUUUAUAAACUUAGUAAUCUGCGCGUAGCGGCCUCUGAUUGGGGUUUCUACGAAGAGGAUAAUCAAUCUAGUCAUCUGAUCGCCGUGUUACAUGGCGUGCAGCUGAUGAACUUUAAAUGAUGUAACUAUGAACGUAGAAGUAUUAGUGCCGUGAUGCUAGGACAGGGGUUCAAAUCCCCUCGGCUCCAUUU